rfam:Salmo salar isolate Sally breed double haploid chromosome ssa14, whole genome shotgun sequence.
UGCACGCAUUACUGUAAAUCACUUUGGAUAAAAGUGUCUGCUAAAUAUUAGUCA